GUACAAGUAGUCUCUCCUUCACCGUGUGGAAGAUGGAGAACAAUAGGUAAAGUGCUGGGGAGGAAGGCAUUGUGUAAAUGGGACCACAAGGGAGAACAUCAGCAAACUGGCGUUUGAGGUGCACUUGCUCCCACAUACAGAUCCCAGCCAUGGAAGGAUCUGGAUUAUAACUCUGGACUCUGAUUCAGCCUCAGAAUUUGUGAUAGGAGAGGGCUCUUGCUUCUGGAGUUCGACAAAAGGGCCUGGUGGAUGGUCCACAAACAUCAGCUUUCAAUGUCAUACUCUCUGUGUGAGCAAACUGUAUGAGUCAGUUAUUAAACUAGCCAUCUGUUGUAUUGUAUUCUAUUUUGACUUGUAAAUCAGUCAAUCAUGUCAUAGCAUUUUGUAUUGUUUCAACUGUGACUUUAGGAACCAUUCAGUCAUAUCCUGUAAUGUGAAAACACAUUUUUGUGACCAUUUAUGGCAAAGUUAGCUUACUGUUCACUGAAUACUUGAUAUUUUCCUAUAUUUAAAUAUACAGUACUGUAUAUAAAUCAAAAUAAAGUUAUUAAAGGAGGACAGUGAAUUACA